UNUGAAGUUAAAGGCAGUGGCUCAACCNUUGUAGGCUUUGGAAACUGUUUAACUUGAGUGCAGAAGGGGAGAGUGGAAUUCCAUGUGUAGCGGUGAAAUGCGUAGAUAUAUGGAGGAACACCGGUGGCGAAAGCGGCUNUCUGGUCUGUAACUGACGCUGAGGCUNGAAAGCGUGGGGAGCGAACAGGAUUAGAUACCCUGGUAGUNCACGCCGUAAACGAUGAGUGCUAGGUGUUAGGUCCUUUCCGGGACUUAGUGCCGCAGCUAACGCAUUAAGCACUCCGCCUGGGGAGUACGACCGCAAGGUUGAAACUCAAAGGAAUUGACGGGGGCCCGCACAAGCGGUGGAGCAUGUGGUUUAAUUCGAAGCAACGCGAAGAACCUUACCAGGUCCUGACAUCCCGAUGCCCGCUCUAGAGAUAGAGCUUUACUUCGGUACAUCGGUGACAGGUGGUGCAUGGUUGUCGUCAGCUCGUGUCGUGAGAUGUUGGGUUAAGUCCGCAACGAGCGCAACCCUUAUUGUUAGUUGCCAUCAUUCAGUUGGGCACUCUAGCGAGACUGCCGGUAAUAAACCGGAGGAAGGUGGGGAUGACGUCAAAUCAUCAUGCCCCUUAUGACCUGGGCUACACACGUGCUACAAUGGCUGGUACAACGAGUCGCAAGCCGGUGACGGCAAGCUAAUCUCUGAAAGCCAGUCUCAGUUCGGAUUGUAGGCUGCAACUCGCCUACAUGAAGUCGGAAUCGCUAGUAAUCGCGGAUCAGCACGCCGCGGUGAAUACGUUCCCGGGCCUUGUACACACCGCCCGUCACACCACGAGAGUUUGUAACACCCGAAGUCGGUGAGGUAACCGUAAGGANCCA
rnacentral:rRNA from 1 species